GAGGGGCAGGUAGCGCUGCAGCCCCGAGGGGAUCAAGCAGGCAGCACAGUCCUUGGGAAGGCUGGGGAAGCAGAGGUAGCCAUCCGCAUCCAGCAGAGAGAAGGGCAGGAAGCCCAGGCCCAUCAACAUCCCCAGCACGGAGAAGCCCUGACUGGACUGAGCCACAUCAUUGGCCUGGACGGGUGACCCUUCCUGGGGCUCUGAGCUGCAGGCCAGGGGGGAGGGAGGAGGAAAGGCCUCUAGAGGCUGGUGAUGGUAGUGCCCUGUUGCAGCCAAACUGUCUGCAUGCUGCUGGGGGGUAAAAUCAGGAUCCCAAAUACCCGGGUAGUCCCCGUCCCCAUCUAGCUGGCCCCAGGACAGGGGGUCGUCCUCCGAGAUGUCGGACAGAACGUCUAGCUCAGAGAUGGUGUCCAGGAUGGGAGGGAUGGAUGAGUUGGAGGAGGAUAAGGACAGGGGGAACAUGAAGAUUGACUACACAGUGAUUAACCCGUCGUUUCCCCCAUGUAGAGAAAGAGAGAGAAGGCCACAUGUAGACACCAUGCAGGGAAGGAAGCAGUGAGAGGGAAAAACAAGCAGUAAUCACAACCAAGAGAAGAAGAAACAAAUGUGUGUGAAAAAUAAUAAAACGGUAAGAGGAAUGUGUGCGCAGGAAAAGAGGGGAGAAAGAAACACCAUUAGUGAGACGUGUCAGGUCACGGGUGCAGACAAGAGGUCACAUAGUGGGGGCAGUGAGAGGUCAGGGGUCAAAGGGUGGGUCCAAGAGGUUCUGGGGGAGGAGGGUCAAGCGCAUUCUACAACUGUACAACAACAGGAUCAGAACUGAGAACACUAGUGGACAGAUGCAGAGAGAAGUCAGAGUAGAUGACAGGAAGGGGAAGAAUCUAAAGCAACCCAAAAACAGGAAGGUCUUUGUGAUUGAGUUAGAGAUAUAGCACAGUUAAACUCUGGUUGUUCCAAUUCAAUUUGAAUUCAAAACUCUUACUUUUAGCCCUGUCCCCUUAAUUUUUACUUCCAGGUAAACCCCCCAGAGAACCAGAAAUCUUCCCUGACCAUGGCAGGACAACAUCCGCCGAGCAAGAAUCCAGUGUCUUUCCCCAGUCCCCACAGCCGGGUGGUUUUAGAGGCCCCUUCAGUGAUGACUUCAAUGUCAGUGUCAGAAGAGGGGAUGAUCGUGGACUACAAGAAAACUGAAGAGGAAGCACCUCCCUAUCCACAUCGACGGGACAGUAGCGGAGAAGGUGGAAAGUUAAGUUCCUCGGCUUACACAUCACGGACAAACUGAAAUGGUCUACCCACACAGACAGUGUGGUGAUGAAGGCGCAACAGCGUCUCAACCUCAGGAGGCUGAAGAAAUUUGGCUUAUCAUCUAAAAACACUCAAGCGUUUAGACGCACAAUCGAGAGCAUCCUGUCAGGCUGUAUCACCGCCUGUUCGGCAAUGGCACCGCCCUCAACCGCAAGGCUCUCCAGAGAGUAGUGUGGUCUGCACAACACAUCACCGGGGGCAAACUACCUGCCCUCCAGGACACCUACAGCACCCGAUAUCACAGGAAGGCCAAAAAGAUCAUCAAGGACAACAACCACCUGAGUCACUGCCUGUUCACCCCGCUAUCAUCCAGAAGGCGAGGUCGGUACAGGUGCAUCAAAUCUGGGACCGAGAGACUGAAAAACAGCUUCUAUCUCAAGGCCAUCAGACUGUUAAACAGCCAUCGCUAACAUAGAGGCUGCUACCAACAUAGACUCAAAUCUCUGGCCACGUAAAUAAAUGGACUUAAUAAAAUGUAUCACUAGUCACCUUAAAUAACGCCACUUUAAUAAUGUUUACAAAUCCUACAUUACUCAUCUCAUAUGUAUAUACUGUACUCUAUACCAUCUACUGCAUCUUGCCUAUGCCGCACGUCCAUCGCUCAUCCAUAUAUUUAUAUGUACAUAUUCUAUUCAUCCCUUUACAUUUGUGUGUAUAAUGUAGUUGUUGUGAAUUUGUUAGAUUAUUUUUUAGAUAUUACAUCGUAGUCGGAACUAGAAGCACAAGCAUUUUGCUACACUCGCAUUAACAUCUGCUAACCAUGUGUAUGUGGCCAAUAAAAUGUGAUUUGAUUUGUGUCA